GGUAGGACUACCCGCUGAACUUAAGCAUAC
rnacentral:rRNA from 1 species